rnacentral:rRNA from 1 species
AUUGAACGCUGGCGGCAUGCUUUACACAUGCAAGUCGAUCGGUAACAGGCCUUCGGGUGCUGACGAGUGGCGAACGGGUGAGUAAUGCAUCGGAACGUGCCCAGAGGUGGGGGAUAACGCAGCGAAAGCUGUGCUAAUACCGCAUGUGAUCUGAGGAUGAAAGCGGGGGACCAAGCAGCAAUGUUUGGCCUCGCGCCUCUGGAGCGGCCGAUGUCAGAUUAGGUAGUUGGUGGGGUAAAGGCCUACCAAGCCGACGAUCUGUAGCUGGUCUGAGAGGACGACCAGCCACACUGGGACUGAGACACGGCCCAGACUCCUACGGGAGGCAGCAGUGGGGAAUUUUGGACAAUGGGCGCAAGCCUGAUCCAGCAAUGCCGCGUGCGGGAAGAAGGCCUUCGGGUUGUAAACCGCUUUUGUACGGAACGAAAAGGCUCUGGCUAAUACCUGGGGCUGAUGACGGUACCGUAAGAAUAAGCACCGGCUAACUACGUG